AAAAGGGAGAAAGAGAUUUUGCACCAGUUCAAACCAAACCGAUGCGAAAUAGUGUUUAAGCAUCGGUUCAAACCGGUGCGAAAUUUAAAAAAAAAACCGGGCUGCGUGCUUUUCUUUCUUUCUUUCCCCCUAUCUCUCCAUCUCCUGUUUCCCUCUCAUUUUCGCCUUCUCUUCCACCAUCCCGAAUUUCCACUCCAUUGAAGCAUCACCUCCUUCUCUCUCCAUUGAAGUGAUUUACGAGCUUUCUCACUCCAUUGAAGCAGCACCUCCUUCUCUCUCCAUAUCUCUGGCCUCCAUUGAACUCGCCGUGCUCUAUAUUCUCCAUUGAAGCCAAUUUUGAGCUUUCUCACCUCCAUUGAAGCAGCUUCGAGGGUUUGUCAUUGAAGCGCGCACAACUCUACCUCCACCACAACGACCUCCUUGUCACAGCGGCAGGGCCUUCUUUUUCUAGGAGAGUGAUAGGCCAGUUCUUGUCAUCAAGGGUCCAAAUAGAAGAAUCAAUAGAUCUGUUUGGGGGCCUUUAAACAGCACUAUAAUCAGCUGUGGUGAAGAUGCUAUCAUCCGUGUCUGGGAUCCUGUGGUGUUGUCUCUAUCCAGCAAGAGUGAUAAUAAGCGUGCAAUUGAACAGUUGGUGACUGAAGAGACACAUUCAAGGAAAGAAGCAAAUGAAUUGAUAAAACUUGUUAGGUCUCGUGUAGUGGACAACAAUGGAACUUUUGUGAAACUACUCCAAAUAUGCGGACCUCAGCAAUUAUGGAAGCCAGGAAAUGGCUGCAGGAGAAAAGAUCAGGCUCAAAGAAAAAGUUUGAGAUGGAGCUUGAUUCCGCAAAUGUGGCGUCACCAUUCCAUCUUGAGAAUUGUUUGGGAAUUUAGUGAUCAAGGUGGUGGUUGAAAAUGACAGUGAGAGCGUCAUUCAUGCUAUCAAAGAAGGUGAAGCUGGCAAUCACUCCUUCCAGCUUCUGUUGGAGGAUAUUCACUUUGUUGCUAGCAAGUUCAAUUGUAUUUCUUGGGCAUGGGUGGGUAGAAAAGGUAAUAAGGAGGCUCAUGAGCUUGCUCAUGUGUUUCCUUGGGGUCUUGAUAGGAGAGUUUGGAUGUCUGAUUUUCCUCAGUGUGUUUGUAAUUUGGCUAUCUCUGAUUUUCAGUCGAGUAAUGAUAAUUGAGUUCCCUCUUGGGGCUUUGGUUCCAAAAAAAAAAAAAAGAAAAAAAAAGAGUGGUCAACUAGAAUCUCCAAGUUGUCCAGCUACCAGUAUUCCACAGUUGCUAUGUUAAGCCUUAAACUAAUCAUACUCUCUUGAAAACAUGUAAACCAAUCUUUAGGGUGGACACCUAACUGACUACAUUUGUAUUUAUAGUCUUUAAUUCUUAAUAUGUGAUUCUCUUUGCUAUCAUGCAACUCUGGAGCCCUUUUUCAAUGCUGCUGCUUCUCAAUUCGUUCUCGGACAGUCUAUCCCCAUUACUCUCUGGCUCUCCUUGGCUCCAGUUGUAAUUGGUGUUUCUAUGGCUUCCCUGACUGAGUUAUCAUUCAACUGGCUUGGCUUUAUCAGCGCUAUGAUUUCAAAUAUUUCCUUCACCUACAGGAGUAUCUACUCAAAGAAAGCCAUGGCAAUGCUUCUCUUGCAACUUCUUCCAUCUGCAAUUGGCUUACGCUUCCUAACAAUUUAGUGUAUUUGGCUUUUGCUUCCUAAUAAUUUUUCUCUCCAUUUUCAGACUGACAUUGACAGUACUAAUCUCUAUGGUCUUCAGAAAUUCAUUUCUCCUUGAUUAUGUAGUGUGUGUUUUUUUUUUUUUUUUUAGUUUUUUAAAGUGUAAUAUUACAAGUU